rnacentral:tRNA from 1 species
GCGCCCAUAGCACAAAGGAUAGUGUAUAGCCCUGCGAAGGCUGGGAUGGUGGUUCGACUCCACCUGGGCGCA